rnacentral:rRNA from 1 species
CCCUUAGAUGUUCUGGGCCGCACGCGCGCUACACUGAUGCAUUCAACGAGUCCAACCUUGACCGAGAGGUCCGGGUAAUCUUUGAAACUGCAUCGUGAUGGGGCUAGAUUAUUGCAAUUAUUAAUCUUCAACGAGGAAUGCCUAGUAAGCGUGAUUCAUCAAAUCGCGUUGAUUACGUCCCUGCCCUUUGUACACACCGCCCGUCGCUCCUACCGAUUGAGUGUGUUGGUGAGGAGUUUGGAUUGGCCUCGGAAGGUGGUUCGCCACCAUCCGUAGCUGAGAAGUUCUCCAAACCGCCCCACUUAGAGGAAGGAGAAGUCGUAACA